UCUGUCCACAAAGGAAUGGCUAAAUUAUAGCCCAGCACAUCCCUCUGGCAGUGUAGCUGAGCUCAGGAAAGGUAUGUUCUGUGCAUUAGCAUCUGGGGGAGCAAGAGGGGUCAGGAGAAUAGGAAGGAAGAACCCUUCACCAAACCAGGUCACAAGGCCCAGCCUGGGCUGAUGUGUGUGUCACACUCUUGGAAAGGUCACCUCCUCACCACCAUCCCAGUCUCCACCAGGAUUGUACAGCAGUGUCUAUUAAUGACAGAACCAUUCUUCAAUGUCAUUUACCCAAAACAUAUCAUUUAGCAUUAAUCUAUUCAUAGAAUGUUUCUGAAAUAUUUUUAAGCUAGUUUUAGGGGCCGGGUGAGGUGACUCAUGCCUGUAAUCCUAGCACUUUGGGAGGCCAAGGAGGGUGGAUUGCCUGAGUUCAGGAGUUUGAGACCAGCCUGAGCAACACGGUGAAACCCCGUCUCUACUAAUAUACAAAAAAGAAAUUAGCUGGGUAUGGCGGCAUGUGCCUGUAGUCCCAGCUACUUGGGAGUCUGAGGCGGGAGAAUUGCUUGAACCCGGGAGAUGGAGGUUGCAAUGAGCCAAGAAUGCACCACUGCACUCCAGCCUGAGCAACAGAGCAAGACUCCAUCUCCAAAAAUAAAAAUAAAAAUAAACUGGUUUGGGGGCUGCAAAAUACUAUCUCAUAGUAGUUAAAGCAGCCACGUAAGACUCUGGGUCUUCGCCAGAGCCACAGGGACUCUGUGGAAAGGAAAGCCCCCUUUCCUUCCUUAGACCUUCCAUGCUUACCUCCACCUCCAUAUUUCUCCUCUUUCUCCAACAGGAACAAGCUCAGCUGGGAGUGAGCAAUGAAAGGCAGGUCCAGCCCUUUCACCAUGGCUGCAGUUGGAAGCAAACAAGUGAAUUUGACACAAGGCGUGACCAUUGGAAGAAGAAACCCAAAGAAGAUGGAGAAGGAAGGUUGACCAAGGGGAGCACCAGGAAAGAACUGGUGUCAUGGAGGCGAAGAAUGGAGAGUUACAGGGAAUGGCGGCAGGUGACAUUGAGUAAACCACCUAGAGGUUCCUGGGCAUCUUUUCCAUGGUUGUUUCAGUGAAAUGCAAGGGGUAGAAAUCAGAUGGUAGUGCUGGGUGCGGUGACUCACGCCUGUCAUCCCAGCACUUUGGGAGGUUGAGCCGGGCAGAUCACAAGAUCAGGCAAUUGAGACCAUCCUGACUAACACGGUGAAACCCCGUCUCUACUAAAAAUACAAAAAAAAUUAGCUGGGCGUGGUGGCAGGCACCUGUAGUCCCAGCUACUUGGGAGGCCAAGGCAGGAGAGUGGCAUGAGCCCAGGAGGCGGAGCUUGCAGUGAGCCUAGAUCACACCACUGCACUCCAUCCUGGGCGGCAGAGCAAGACUCCGUCUCAAAAAAAAAAAAAAAAAAAGACAUCAGAUGGCAGCAAAUAGCAGUCAUGGGCAAUGAGGACAGAUGGACCACCUUUUCAACAAGCUGGCUAAGAAGAAAAGAAAAGAGGCAUGAUGGCAACUACAAAGAAAUGCAGACUCAACAAAGGAAGCAAUUUUGUGUUGUUCUGCUUUCUUUCUAAGAAGACCUGAGUUUGGAGCAUACUUGUAGGCUGAAAACAAAGAGCUCAUGGACUGGGAGAGGCUAAAGAUUUAUGCGGAAAAGAGUCACUGAGAGAACAAGGUUCCGAAAGAGGCUGAUGGGUAGGAAUUCAAAAGCUCAGAUCACUGAAAUUUAAAAUAUGCCUAUCCUUUGAUGCCGUUUCUCAGAAUUUAUCUUUCAAGAAAAAAUUUUUUAAAAGAACUUAUAAAAAUGUUCACAUAAGGAGGAAAAAUUGUACAAUAUUGUUCAAAGGCAAAGAGAUAGAUGUAUGUACAGGAGUAUUCAAUGCAGUAUCACUAGUAAUAGGGAAAAUUUGAAACAAUUCACAUAUCUAUCAGAAAAGAUUAGUUAAGCUAUGGAUUACAGAACUGCUUUAAAGUCUUGCAGUGGAAAGGUCUCCCUCAUAGUAUAUGAUUUCUAGACAUAAUAAAAGGAAGCUGUUACAGAAUUGAUAACGAAAGUAUACAGCCUCUAUAGACUCCACAAAUAAGUCUGGAAAAAAACAGUUCUAGUCCACCUAAUAUAUAAAAAAACUCCUUCAAAUUCUUUCUUUAUUAUUAUUUUUUAUUUUUGGAGACAGAGUCUCCCUCCAUCCCCCAGGCUGGAGUGCAGUGGCAUGAUCUCAGCUUACUGCAACUUCUGCCUCCCAGGUUCAAGUGAUUCUCCUACCUCAGCCUCUCAAGUAGCUGGGAUUGCAGGCACCUGCCACCACACCCGGCUAAGUUUUUGAUUUUUAGUAGAGACAGGGUUUCGCCAUGUUGGCCAGGAUGGUCUCGAACUCCUGACCUCAGGUGAUCCACCAGCCUUGGCCUCCCAAAGUGCUGGAAUUACAGGCAUGAGCCACCACACCAGCCCAAAUUCAUUUUUUUAAAAUAACAGCCUAAUAGAAAAUAUGGGCAAAAGCUAGAAACUGGCAUUUCAUAGAUAACAAACUAGAACAACUAAUAUAUAUAUUUAUAUUUUAAUAAUCAACCUCAUUAAGAAUGAAAGCUAUGUAAAUGAGAUCCUUCACUUUGUCAAUAAGAUUGAGAAAAAUUAGAAAGAUUAAUAUGUGUUGUUGGUAAGAAAAACACUCCCAUAAAGAUUGAUGGAGCUUAAACAUAUACAUUUGUAGAGAGCAAUUUGGAAGUGCUUAUCAAAUUCUUUUUAUUUGUAUAAAAAUAAAAAUAUUUAUGGGGUGCAAGUAUAAUUUUGUUACAUACAGAGAUUGUGUAGUGGUGAAGUCAGGGCUUUUAGGGUAUCCAUCACCCAAAUUCACAGUUUUAAAUGUACCUUUUCACUCAGCAGUUCUACUGCUAAGAAUCUAUCUAUACAUUAACAAGAAAUUAUGAACCAGUAUGUAUUUUACCUGUUCAUACUUUUUACAUGCUGGAACAGUGAAAAAUUGGACAUGACCUGAUUGUUCAUUAAGAGAAGAACAGUUAAAUACAUUAUAUAGAAAGUAUGUAACGGAAUACUGGGCAGCUAUUAAAAAGAAAGAGUUAGAUCUAGACGUAGUAAGUUACAAAGAAAUGGAUUUACCUAAGGUCAGGAGUUCGAGACCAGUCUGACCAACAUGGAGAAACCCCAUCUCUACUAAAAAUACAAAAUUAGCCGGGUGUGGUGGCGCAUGCCUGUAAUCCCAGCUACUCAGGAGGCUGAGGCAGGAGAAUCACUUGAACCCGGGGGGAGGAGGUUGCAGUGAGCCGAGAUCGCACCAUUGCACUCCAGUCUGGGCAACAAGAGCAAAACUCUGACUCAAAAAAGAAAAAAGAAAAAGAAAUGGAUUUCUAAUAUUUAAGUAAACAACAAGAAAAGAAAUAGCUACAUUCCAGGAUUCCAGGUAUAGCAUGAUUCCAUUUCCAGGAACAAAAACCAUUUCUAUAUACUAGACAAAAUAAGGAUUUAAUAACACACACAUCAACAUGGAUGACUCUCCAAUGGAUUAUGCUAGGGGAAAAAAGCCAUGGCUCCGUGGUGGCUCAGGCCUGUAAUCCCAGCACUUUGAGAGGCUAAGUGGAUCACUUGAAGUCAGGAGUUCGAGACCAGCCUGGCCAACAUGGUGAAACCCCAUCUCUACUAAAAAUACAAAAAUUAGCUGAGUAUAGUGGCACAUGCCUGUAAUCCCAGCUACUCAGGAGGCUGAGGCGGGAGAAUCGCUUGAACCUGGGAGAUGGAGGUUGCAGUGAGCCAAGAUCGUGCCCCUGCACUCCAGCCUGGGCAACAGAGUGAGACUCGG
ensembl:lncRNA